UACGUAGGGUGCAAGCGUUGUCCGGAAUUAUUGGGCGUAAAGAGCUCGUAGGCGGUUUGUUGCGUCGGCUGUGAAAUCCCGAGGCUCAACCUCGGGUCUGCAGUCGAUACGAGCAAACUAGAGUGUUGCAGGGGAGACUGGAAUUCCUGGUGUAGCGGUGAAAUGCGCAGAUAUCAGGAGGAACACCGGUGGCGAAGGCGCUCAUCUGGCCCAAUACUGACGCUGAAGCGCGAAAGCUAGGGGAGCAAACGGG
rnacentral:rRNA from 1 species